rnacentral:rRNA from 1 species
UUUCUAUGGAGAGUUUGAUCCUGGCUCAGGACGAACGCUGGCGGCGUGCCUAAUACAUGCAAGUCGAGCGGACCAAACAGGAGCUUGCUCUUGUUUGGUUAGCGGCGGACGGGUGAGUAACACGUGGGUAACCUGCCCGUAAGACCGGGAUAACUCCGGGAAACCGGAGCUAAUACCGGAUAACACCGAAGACUGCAUGGUCUUUGGUUGAAAGGCGGCUUCGGCUGCCACUU